UUGAACGCUGGCGGCAGGCCUAACACAUGCAAGUCGAACGGUAACAGGAAACAGCUUGCUGUUUCGCUGACGAGUGGCGGACGGGUGAGUAAUGUCUGGGAAACUGCCUGAUGGAGGGGGAUAACUACUGGAAACGGUAGCUAAUACCGCAUAACGUCGCAAGACCAAAGAGGGGGACCUUCGGGCCUCUUGCCAUCAGAUGUGCCCAGAUGGGAUUAGCUAGUAGGUGGGGUAA
rnacentral:rRNA from 1 species